AGAGGAGGAGAUGCUUGAGUGGCAUCACCGACUCAAUGGACCUGAGUUUGAGCAAGCUCGGGGAGAUGGUGAAGGACAGGGAUGCCUGGCGAGCUGCAGUCCAUGGGGUGGCCAAAAGUCGGACACAACUUAGCGACUGAACAACA